ACUCCUACGGGAGGCAGCAGUGGGGAAUAUUGCACAAUGGGGGAAACCCUGAUGCAGCAACGCCGCGUGAGUGAUGACGGCCUUCGGGUUGUAAAACUCUGUCUUUGGGGACGAUAAUGACGGUACCCAAGGAGGAAGCCACGGCUAACUACGUGCCAGCAGCCGCGGUAAUACGUAGGUGGCAAGCGUUGUCCGGAUUUACUGGGCGUAAAGGGAGCGUAGGUGGAUAUUUAAGUGGGAUGUGAAAUACUCGGGCUUAACCUGGGUGCUGCAUUCCAAACUGGAUAUCUAGAGUGCAGGAGAGGAAAGGAGAAUUCCUAGUGUAGCGGUGAAAUGCGUAGAGAUUAGGAAGAAUACCAGUGGCGAAGGCGCCUUUCUGGACUGUAACUGACACUGAGGCUCGAAAGCGUGGGGAGCAAACAGGAUUAGAUACCCUGGUAGCGAG
rnacentral:rRNA from 1 species